rnacentral:rRNA from 1 species
AGAAUCAACGCUGGCGGCGUGCCUAACACAUGCAAGUCGCACGAGAAAGGGUAGCAAUACCUGAGUAAAGUGGCGCACGGGUGAGUAACACGUGAAUGAUCUACCUCCGAGUGGGGAAUAACUGAGAGAAAUCUUAGCUAAUACCGCAUAACACUUACGAGUCAAAGCAGCAAUGCGCUUGGAGAGGAGUUCGCGGCCGAUUAGUUAGUUGGCGGGGUAAUGGCCCACCAAGACGAUGAUCGGUAUCCGGCCUGAGAGGGCGCACGGACACACUGGAACUGAAACACGGUCCAGACUCCUACGGAGGCAGCAGUGGGGAAUUUUGCGCAAUGGGGGAAACCCUGACGCAGCAACGCCGCGUGGAGGAUGAAAUAUCUUGGUAUGUAAACUCCUUUCGAUGGGGAAGAUUAUGACGGUACCAUAGAAGAAGCCCGGCUAACUUCGCGCCAGCAGCCGC